rnacentral:tRNA from 1 species
UGGGCUGUAGUCAAUUAUGACAUAUGAGUUGCAAUCAUAAGGUGUUUUUGAAACCGGCCUAA